AUGGCCACCGCAGCGCGCGCCGUCGCCGCCGCCGCGCGCCCGGCGCGGCCGGUGCUCCUCUCGCGGAGACUCCCGUGCCCCUCCGGUUGCCCCGCGCGGCGGCCUCGGGUCGGCCGCGCCGUCCGCUGCAUGGCGCGGCGGCCCGACGCCUCGUACUCGCCGCUGCGGCCGGGGCAGGGCGGGGACCGCGCGCCCACGGAGAUGGCGCCGCUGUUCCCCGGCUGCGACUACGAGCACUGGCUCAUCGUCAUGGACAAGCCCGGCGGCGAGGGCGCCACCAAGCAGCAGAUGAUCGACUGCUACAUCCAGACCCUCGCCAAGGUCGUGGGGAGCGAGGAGGAGGCGAAGAAGAGGAUCUACAACGUGUCCUGUGAGCGUUACUUUGGGUUUGGGUGCGAGAUUGACGAGGAAACAUCCAACAAGCUGGAAGGCCUCCCGGGUGUUCUUUUUGUGCUUCCGGAUUCCUAUGUUGAUGCUGAGAACAAGGACUAUGGCGCCGAGUUAUUUGUGAACGGAGAGAUCGUCCAACGAUCACCGGAAAGGCAGAGAAGGGUGGAGCCGGUGCCUCAGAGGGCUCAAGAUAGACCGCGUUACAGCGACCGGACUCGCUAUGUGAAGCGGAGGGAGAACCAGGCCUACCAACGGUGA
rnacentral:rRNA from 1 species